rnacentral:rRNA from 1 species
CAUGUCUUUUUGAUUAUAAUUUAAGGUUUAAUCUGCUCAAUGAAAAUUAAAUAGCCGCAGUAUUUUAACUGUGCAAAGGUAGCAUGAUAAUUAGUUUAUUAAUUGUGAACUAGAAUGAAUGAUUGAACGAGAAAAUUUCUGUCUCUUUUUAAUUUUUAUGAAUUUUACUUUUAAGUUAAAAGGCUUAGAUUAAGAUAAAAGACGAGAAGACCCCAUAGAGUUUUAUUUUUAAUAGUAUAUUUAGAAAUGAAUUUUAUAUUAAGAAAUUUGUUGGGGUGACUUAAAGAUUUAAUUAACUCUUUAAAUUUUAAAAUCAUUGAUUAUUGAUUAAAAAUUCUGAAAAUUUUCAAUUUUAAGAAAGUUACCUUGGGGAUAACAGCGUUAUUUCUUUUAGAGUUCUUAUCGAAAAAGAAGAUUGCGACCUCGAUGUUGGAUUAAAGUAAAAAUUAGAUGAAAAAUUUUUUAAUUUAAGUCUGUUCGACUUUUGAAACUUUACAUGAUCUGAGU